CUCAAGGGGGGGGGGCCCUCAGUUGGAUUGCGAGAGGGUGCAGGCCAGGCUGAGGGACUCCACUAGUGCAUG
rnacentral:pre_miRNA from 1 species